rnacentral:lncRNA from 1 species
GACUUGAAAAGCUAGAAAGCCAUGAGAAAUUAUUCAGCAGAGUAGUACAAGGGAGGGUUCAUUACCCAGGUGGAUAGCAUUGUUACGUGGAUUCCAGACUGGAACUGGCAUCUGUCCAGACUGCUUGCAGCAAAGGAGCUCAGACUUGUCUGUGCUGGCCUGGACAAAUAUUCCCAUAGUUGUGUUGUUUUUGAGAGGUGGAAAGAGUCUCUCUUACAUGCAGAACACGACACCACCCCAAACUACAAGGGAAAGAUUUGCCAUUUCAAGCUGGAAGAAGCUGUACAGAGCUACAUCACAUCUGUUCAUUCCCCUCGAACAGCUAAAGAAAAUAAUAUUCUGCCAACCUUGA